GAUGAACGCUGGCGGCGUGCCUAAUACAUGCAAGUCGAGCGAACGGACGAGAAGCUUGCUUCUCUGAUGUUAGCGGCGGACGGGUGAGUAACACGUGGAUAACCUACCUAUAAGACUGGGAUAACUUCGGGAAACCGGAGCUAAUACCGGAUAAUAUUUUGAACCGCAUGGUUCAAAAGUGAAAGACGGUCUUGCUGUCACUUAUAGAUGGAUCCGCGCUGCAUUAGCUAGUUGGUAAGGUAACGGCUUACCAAGGCAACGAUGCAUAGCCGACCUGAGAGGGUGAUCGGCCACACUGGAACUGAGACACGGUCCAGACUCCUACGGGAGGCAGCAGUAGGGAAUCUUCCGCAAUGGGCGAAAGCCUGACGGAGCAACGCCGCGUGAGUGAUGAAGGUCUUCGGAUCGUAAAACUCUGUUAUUAGGGAAGAACAUAUGUGUAAGUAACUGUGCACAUCUUGACGGUACCUAAUCAGAAAGCCACGGCUAACUACGUGCCAGCAGCCGCGGUAAUACGUAGGUGGGCAGCGUUAUCCGGAUUUAUGCGCGUNAAGCGCGCNUAGGCGGUUUUUUAGUCUGAUGUGAAAGCCCACGGCUCAACCGUGGAGGGUCAUUGGAAACUGGAAAACUUGAGUGCAGAAGAGGAAAGUGGAAUUCCAUGUGUAGCGGUGAAAUGCGCAGAGAUAUGGAGGAACACCAGUGGCGAAGGCGACUUUCUGGUCUGUAACUGACGCUGAUGUGCGAAAGCGUGGGGAUCAAACAGGAUUAGAUACCCUGGUAGUCCACGCCGUAAACGAUGAGUGCUAAGUGUUAGGGGGUUUCCGCCCCUUAGUGCUGCAGCUAACGCAUUAAGCACUCCGCCUGGGGAGUACGACCGCAAGGUUGAAACUCAAAGGAAUUGACGGGGACCCGCACAAGCGGUGGAGCAUGUGGUUUAAUUCGAAGCAACGCGAAGAACCUUACCAAAUCUUGACAUCCUUUGACAACUCUAGAGAUAGAGCCUUCCCCUUCGGGGGACAAAGUGACAGGUGGUGCAUGGUUGUCGUCAGCUCGUGUCGUGAGAUGUUGGGUUAAGUCCCGCAACGAGCGCAAUCCUUAAGCUUAGUUGCCAUCAUUAAGUUGGGCACUCUAAGUUGACUGCCGGUGACAAACCGGAGGAAGGUGGGGAUGACGUCAAAUCAUCAUGCCCCUUAUGAUUUGGGCUACACACGUGCUACAAUGGACAAUACAAAGGGCAGCGAAACCGCGAGGUCAAGCAAAUCCCAUAAAGUUGUUCUCAGUUCGGAUUGUAGUCUGCAACUCGACUACAUGAAGCUGGAAUCGCUAGUAAUCGUAGAUCAGCAUGCUACGGUGAAUACGUUCCCGGGUCU
rnacentral:rRNA from 1 species